rnacentral:snRNA from 1 species
ACACUCCUGGCAGAGGAGAUACCAUGGUCACUAAGGUGAGGCUUAUCCAUUGCAUUCCAGAUGUGCUGAUUCCUGCAAUUUCCUGAAAUGUAGGAAAAUCUACUGCAUAAUUUGUGCUAGUAGGGGACUGCGUUCACACUCUACAC